UACGUAGGGCGCAAGCGUUAUCCGGAAUUACUGGGCGUAAAGAGCUCGUAGGUGGUUUGUCGCGUUGUCCGUGAAAACUCACAACUCAAUUGUGGGCGUGCGGGCGAUACGGGCAGACUGGAGUACUGCAGGGGAGACUGGAAUUCCUGGUGUAGCGGUGGAAUGCGCAGAUAUCAGGAGGAACACCGGUGGCGAAGGCGGGGUCUCUGGGCAGUAACUGACGCUGAGGAGCGAAAGCGUGGGGAGCGAACAGG
rnacentral:rRNA from 1 species